rnacentral:rRNA from 1 species
GAUGAACGCUGGCGGCGUGCUUAACACAUGCAAGUCGAACGAUGAAGCCCAGCUUGCUGGGUGGUAGAGUUGCGAACGGGUGAGUAACACGUGAGUAACCUGCCCUGAACUCUGAGAUAAGCACCGGCAACGGUGUCUAAUACAGGAUACGUCCUAUCAUCGCACGGUGUGUGCGAGAAUAGAUUUAUCGGUUCUUGUUGGACGCGCGGCCUAUCAGCUAGAUGGUGAGGUAAUGGCUGACCACGGCUACGACGGGUAGCCGGCCUGAGAGGGUGACCGGCGACACUGGGACUGAGACACGGCCCAGACUCCUACGGGAGGCAGCAGUGGGGAAUAUUGCACAAUGGGCGCAAGCCUGAUGCAGCAACGCCGCGUGAGGGAUGACGGCCUUCGGGGUGUAAACCUCUUUUAGUGGGGAAGAAGCGAAAGUGACGGUACCUGCAGAAAAAGCACCGGCUAACUACGUG